UUAUGUCAUUUUAUCUUUAUAGUUUUUAGUAUGACACGGAUAGGCAAUGUGUUUUUCAGGUGCAAACGGAAAUAGUAUGAUAUAGUUACUGAUAAAAUUUCAAUUAAACAGCGCUUGUCAAAUAAGUAUUUGUAAAAGCGUUCGCACUUGUAUUUUGAAACCUUUGUACAAACAACACAUAUGUGCUACAAUAAUAUAAAAUUUUAUUACCAUAGUAAAUGAUAAUAUUUUAUUCUUUUUUUUUCUUUUGUGAUGGAAUUGGUACGGUGAUCAAGUGAUACAAAGAAGAUAGCCUUGAUCAGUUCUGUUGGAUUGUUUCUUAGGAAUGCUUUAGCAUGAAGUUACUACCUGUCAUAAUGCUGUUACUAUACUCUGGCUUUAUUUGCACCGUUUACGGAUCAUCCAAAUCAAAAUCUAAAUGUGAAAAAGAACGGGAUGAUAUAGCGGGAACUUUUAGCGAUAUUAAUGUUUUUAUACCAGUGUGUAAUGAUGACGGCACGUACACCAAAUCACAGUGUGAUGGUGCAACUGGAAACUGUUGGUGCGUGAAUAAGGAUGGAAAACAAAUCACCCCCAGAACAAAAGGACCACCAAAGUGCAAGUAGCUUCAGUACCUAAGUUUUAUCGUUUUGAGAAAAUAGGCCGAAAAAUGUAUUUUAAUAAGAUUUCUGGUUUGAAAUUCACUCAAUAACACAAAUAAAUGUUGUAGCUUAUGCA